GAAAAAAAAAUUAGUAUAAUUAUAAGGUUCGACUUUAUAGUUUAUUGCUUUUGCUUUGUUUAAUUGAUUACUGAAAAGUUUUACAGAUGUGCAUUUGCUCGUUGUUAGCAUAUGUACGUAUGCAUGUAUGCAAGUACAUAUAUAUAUGCUUAUACGUGUACAUAUUUAUGUGUGUAUAUGUACAUUUGGCUUCAAUUUUAAUAUAAAACCUAUAAAUAAAUAUUAAAAAAAAUUACGGUUUAGCGUAAUUGCAAAAAAACUAAAAUCUCACAAAGGAACAAUACUAUAAAAGAAAAUACCACAAAACGGAAUAUUAUUAUAUGAAUGUCUAAUAUAUAGACACAAAUACGAAUAUAUACAUAAAAAAAAAUAUACACCACUACUUACUACUAUUGCUCUUAACUUUAUUUUUAUAAUUUUUUUGUAAAUAUCAUGGGUUUAUCAGAGAAUCCGAAGUUUUAUUCGCUUUUCAAAAAAUUGAUUAAAUAUAGAAAAAUUAUAGGAAUCACAGUUUCAAUUUUAGGCUUCGUUUAUUUUUGUUUUUUUUAUAAAAUUUACAAAAAAGCAGUGCUAGAUUCACGGAUAUUUAGCUUGUAUCCUGGUAACUCUGUUUUGGACAAGUCAGAUGAAGAGUUUAUGCAAGAAGUAAAUAAUUAUUUUUUAAAUUACGAUUAUAAAGAAAAUGAACAUAUAAUAGAUAUAAUACAGAGUUAUAUUGAAAAUAUAUCUUUAUUACCUCAAUUAGAAAAACAUAAAAUAAAAGUAAAUGACUUAGUUGAUGAUUAUAUAUUAGUUAGUAAUGUUGUUUGUAAAUUUUGUAAUAGUUUAGAGAAUAUAAUAGUUGUAAUAAAUUUUUAUUACAAUGAAAGGCAAUAUUUUCAUGCUGUGAAUGUUGGAUUAACACUGAUAAACCACUUUUUAAAUUGUAACUAUAUGAGUAAAGAUGUAACAUUUGUAUUUACUAAUAAAGCAUUACCAUAUUCAUUAGGAAUACAUAAAUUCAUUGAAUUAUAUCUUUAUAAUAAUAAUGAUAAUCAAACUGGCAUUUUUAGAGGAGCACUGAUAAUAGAAUUUGAUCAUAUGUACGCAUCACAAAUACAAAUAAAUUAUGAAAGCUUAAAUGGAAUGCUACCUAAUCAGGAUAUGAUUAUUUUACUAACAGAAGAGUUAAUUGAAAAUGGCAUUCCUAUAAAAAUACAACCAGUUUAUAACGUAAUAUAUGAUAUGGCUUUUGAAAAAUUGCAUGAAAAAGGACAUAUACACUUUUUAAGGUAAUUUAUACAGUCGAGGCGUGUUUAUAUAUAUAUAUAUAUAUAUAUGCACGUAUGUGUCUGAAAAAAAAAAAAAAAAUGGUCUUCACCCGUUUAGUUAUUUACUCACCCACUAUAAAAGUAUGACAACAUAAGACGUCGUAUAUACACAUUUUUUCCAUAUAUGUGUUUUUUUUUUUUUUUUUUUUUUUUUUGAGAAAGCAUUUCUUCAUUUACGGUAACCGGUGUAACAAAAGUUCCCAUAAAAAACAAAGCUAUAAAUUUAUUUGAUUUCA
rnacentral:lncRNA from 1 species